CCUACGGGAGGCAGCAGUGGGGAAUAUUGCGCAAUGGGCGAAAGCCUGAUGCAGCGACGCCGCGUGAGGGAUGACGGCCUUCGGGUUGUAAACCUCUUUUCAGCAGGGAAGAAGCGAAAGUGACGGUACCUGCAGAAGAAGCGCCGGCUAACUACGUGCCAGCAGCCGCGGUAAUACGUAGGGCGCAAGCGUUGUCCGGAAUUAUUGGGCGUAAAGAGCUCGUAGGCGGCUUGUCACGUCGGGUGUGAAAGCCCGGGGCUUAACCCCGGGUCUGCAUUCGAUACGGGCUAGCUAGAGUGUGGUAGGGGAGAUCGGAAUUCCUGGUGUAGCGGUGAAAUGCGCAGAUAUCAGGAGGAACACCGGUGGCGAAGGCGGAUCUCUGGGCCAUUACUGACGCUGAGGAGCGAAAGCGUGGGGAGCGAACAGGAUUAGAUACCCUGGUAGUCCACGCCGUAAACGGUGGGAACUAGGUGUUGGCGACAUUCCACGUCGUCGGUGCCGCAGCUAACGCAUUAAGUUCCCCGCCUGGGGAGUACGGCCGCAAGGCUAAAACGUCAAAGGAAUUGACGG
rnacentral:rRNA from 1 species